UACGUAGGCAGCGAGCGUUGUUCGGAGUUACUGGGCGUAAAGGGCGCGUAGGCGGCCCUCUAAGUCAGACGUGAAAUCCCACGGCUUAACCGUGGAACUGCGUCUGAUACUGGAGGGCUUGAAUCCGGGAGAGGGAUGUGGAAUUCCAGGUGUAGCGGUGAAAUGCGUAGAUAUCUGGAGGAACACCGGUGGCGAAGGCGGCAUCCUGGACCGGUAUUGACGCUGAGGCGCGAAAAGCUAGGGGGAGCAAACGGGG
rnacentral:rRNA from 1 species